rnacentral:tRNA from 1 species
CCAGAGGUGGCAGAGCGGCUUAAUGCACCGACCUGAUAAGUCGGCAACUAGGCAACUGGUUCACGGGUUCGAAUCCCGUCCUCUCCACAA